rnacentral:pre_miRNA from 1 species
UAAGUACCCCUCCGUCCCAAAAUUCUUGUCUUAUAUUUGUCUAAAUACGAAUGUAUCAAGUCACAUUUUAGUAUUAGAUACAUCCGUAUCUAGACAAAUGUAAGACAAGAAUUUUGGGACGGAGGGAGUAUGUA